GUCGAACGGUGAAGCCAAGCUUGCUUGGUGGAUCAGUGGCGAACGGGUGAGUAACACGUGAGCAACCUGCCCUGGACUCUGGGAUAAGCGCUGGAAACGGCGUCUAAUACUGGAUAUGAGCUCUCAUCGCAUGGUGGGGGUUGGAAAGAUUUUUCGGUUUGGGAUGGGCUCGCGGCCUAUCAGCUUGUUGGUGAGGUAAUGGCUCACCAAGGCGUCGACGGGUAGCCGGCCUGAGAGGGUGACCGGCCACACUGGGACUGAGACACGGCCCAGACUCCUACGGGAGGCAGCAGUGGGGAAUAUUGCACAAUGGGCGCAAGCCUGAUGCAGCAACGCCGCGUGAGGGAUGACGGCCUUCGGGUUGUAAACCUCUUUUGGUAGGGAAGAAGCCUUCGGGUGACGGUACCUGCAGAAAAAGCGCCGGCUAACUACGUGCCAGCAGCCGCGGUAAUACGUAGGGCGCAAGCGUUAUCCGGAAUUAUUGGGCGUAAAGAGCUCGUAGGCGGUCUGUCGCGUCUGCUGUGAAAUUCCGAGGCUCAACCUCGGGCUUGCAGUGGGUACGGGCAGACUAGAGUGCGGUAGGGGAGAUUGGAAUUCCUGGUGUAGCGGUGGAAUGCGCAGAUAUCAGGAGGAACACCGAUGGCGAAGGCAGAUCUCUGGGCCGUUACUGACGCUGAGGAGCGAAAGGGUGGGGAGCAAACAGGCUUAGAUACCCUGGUAGUCCACCCCGUAAACGUUGGGAACUAGUUGUGGGGUCCUUUCCACGGAUUCCGUGACGUAGCUAACGCAUUAAGUUCCCCGCCUGGGGAGUACGGCCGCAAGGCUAAAACUCAAAGGAAUUGACGGGGACCCGCACAAGCGGCGGAGCAUGCGGAUUAAUUCGAUGCAACGCGAAGAACCUUACCAAGGCUUGACAUACGCCAGAACGGGCCAGAAAUGGUCAACUCUUUGG
rnacentral:rRNA from 1 species